rnacentral:piRNA from 2 species
UCAGACAUUUCUGCUAUACCAUGUGAUC